rnacentral:rRNA from 1 species
UCGGUAACGGAUGGCUAUGCGUCCCAUUAGUUAGUUGGUAGGGUAACGGCCUACCAAGACGGCGAUGGGUAGGGGCCCUGAGAGGGGGAUCCCCCACACUGGUACUGAGACACGGACCAG